UUGUCUUCUCGCUGUCUACGUUUUGUCUUCCCAGUUGUUUUGGACUAAAAUGUGUACCACGCUGCCGUUACCAGAAAUCUCCAGAUCUAUCGCAGGAACGCCGCCUGCUGUCCUGUGCUCUCUUUAUAUAACAUUUAUAAAUAUUAACAACUUAUAUAAUAAUAUAACUCUUUCAUACUAUAUGUUCAAAUAAAAGAAAACAAUCCUGUUUUAUUCCUGAUUGAAAAAUAAAGUGCUCAAAACAAGAAAAUCGUUAAAAAUGCUUUUUUCCCCUUCUGAAAGUC